rnacentral:rRNA from 1 species
GACGAACGCUGGCGGCGUGCUUAACACAUGCAAGUCGAACGAAGAGCGAUGGAAGCUUGCUUCUAUCAAUCUUAGUGGCGAACGGGUGAGUAACGCGUAAUCAACCUGCCCUUCAGAGGGGGACAACAGUUGGAAACGACUGCUAAUACCGCAUACGAUCUGACCUCGGCAUCGAGGAUAGAUGAAAGGUGGCCUCUACAUGUAAGCUAUCACUGAAGGAGGGGAUUGCGUCUGAUUAGCUAGUUGGAGGGGUAACGGCCCACCAAGGCGAUGAUCAGUAGCCGGUCUGAGAGGAUGAACGGCCACAUUGGGACUGAGACACGGCCCAGACUCCUACGGGAGGCAGCAGUGGGGAAUCUUCCGCAAUGGACGAAAGUCUGACGGAGCAACGCCGCGUGAGUGAUGACGGCCUUCGGAUUGUAAAGCUCUGUUAAUCGGGACGAAAGGCCUUUUUGCGAAUAGUGAGAAGGAUUGACGGUACCGGAAUAGAAAGCCACGGCUAACUACGUG